GGAUCCGUGGCUCAAAGGUCGAGCAGCCGCCUCUUAAGCGGCGUGAUGCGGGUUCGAGUCCCGCCGGAUCCC
rnacentral:tRNA from 2 species